rnacentral:rRNA from 1 species
AGAUUGAACGCUGGCGGCAUGCCUUACACAUGCAAGUCGAACGGCAGCACGGGGGCAACCCUGGUGGCGAGUGGCGAACGGGUGAGUAAUGCAUCGGAACGUGCCCAGUAGUGGGGGAUAACUAGUCGAAAGAUUAGCUAAUACCGCAUACGACCUAUGGGUGAAAGCGGGGGAUUCGCAAGAACCUCGCGCUAUCGGAGCGGCCGAUGUCUGAUUAGCUAGUUGGCGGGUAAAGCCACCAAGGCUUCGAUCAGUAGCUGGUCUGAGAGGACGACCAGCCACACUGGGACUGAGACACGGCCCAGACUCCUACGGGAGGCAGCAGUGGGAAUUUUGGACAAUGGGCGCAAGCCUGAUCCAGCCAUGCCGCGUGCGGGAAGAAGGCCUUCGGUUGUAAACCGCUUUUGGCAGGAACGAACGGCGCGAGCGAAUAUCUCGCGUUAAUGACGUACUGCAGAAUAAGCACCGCAACUACGUGCCAGCACG